rnacentral:rRNA from 1 species
CCUACGGGAGGCAGCAGUGGGGAAUAUUGCACAAUGGGGGAAACCCUGAUGCAGCGACGCCGCGUGAGUGAAGAAGUAAUUCGUUAUGUAAAGCUCUAUCAGCAGGGAAGAAAAUGACGGUACCUGAGUAAGAAGCCCCGGCUAACUACGUUCCAGCAGCCGCGGGAAUACGUAGGGGGCAAGCGUUAUCCGGAUUUACUGGGUGUAAAGGGAGCGUAGACGGGUGUGCAAGUCUGGAGUGAAAGGCGGGGGCUCAACCCCCGGACUGCUCUGGAAACUGUACGGCUGGAGUGCAGUGGAGGUAAGUGGAAUUCGUGGUGUAGCGGUGAAAUGCGUAGAUAUUAGGAAGAACACCAGUGGCGAAGGCGGCUUACUGGACUGUCACUGACGUUGAGGCUCGAAAGCGUGGGGAGCAAACAGGAUUAGAUACCCGAGUAGUC